GACGAACGCUGGCGGCGUGCUUAACACAUGCAAGUCGAACGGAAAGGCCCUGCUUUUGUGGGGUGCUCGAGUGGCGAACGGGUGAGUAACACGUGAGUAACCUGCCCUUGACUUUGGGAUAACUUCAGGAAACUGGGGCUAAUACCGGAUAGGAGCUCCUGCUGCAUGGUGGGGGUUGGAAAGUUUCGGCGGUUGGGGAUGGACUCGCGGCUUAUCAGCUUGUUGGUGGGGUAGUGGCUUACCAAGGCUUUGACGGGUAGCCGGCCUGAGAGGGUGACCGGCCACCUUGGGACUGAGAUACGGCCCAGAAGCCUACGGGAGGCAGCAGUGGGGAAUAUUGCACAAUGGGCGGAAGCCUGAUGCAGCAACGCCGCGUGCGGGAUGACGGCCUUCGGGUUGUAAACCGCUUUCGCCUGUGACGAAGCGUGAGUGACGGUAAUGGGUAAAGAAGCACCGGCUAACUACGUG
rnacentral:rRNA from 1 species